rnacentral:lncRNA from 1 species
UGGAACUGUCUGCUGAUCACUCAGCGAACUCUGAGAUGCACUGACAGGCUGGGACACUUCCUCAUGGACCUCCUCAUCACUUAAUCUUUCUACUUUGACCCGGACAUCUUCUUCGGUACCUAAAGGCAAGGCUGAAUCCUUCGAUCAAUUCCAAAAGGAAAAGUCCAAGGAAAAGCUAAGGAAGAGUCAACUGGUUGGUUUCUAUUUUCUGAGUAGGAAGCUGAAGAAUUCAAUACCUGGGGUAAAUGUAUAGAGGAAAAGAAAGAUGGGAAAAAGAAAAAAAGGA